rnacentral:misc_RNA from 1 species
UCAAACUUGGUCAUUUAGAGGAAGUAAAAGUCGUAACAAGGUUUCCGUAGGUGAACCUGCGGAAGGAUCAUUAACGUAUCUCUGGUGGUGAGGGUGCUCCCCCGCUCCGGCCCCAGUCGGUCGUGCAGCGGGAGCGUCUGAGCUGCUAAAAACCCCCCUUGCAAAACCCACUGUGCACUCUUGUCGGCGGAGGGCCCAAGUGCCCCGAGCCGGAUCAUAAACUCCCAAGUUCAAAAGAAUGGCGAGCAGACAGUGUUCUGCCUAAAACAAUACAACUUUCAACAACGGAUCUCUUGGCUCUCGCAUCGAUGAAGAACGCAGC